GAGGAGAGAAGAGGCUUUGAAUUUUAAAAGGACUCUUGAGUUUCAGACCAAUUUUAUAGAAAGAUAAAUCUUCGAUUUUUCCGACUCAUAUGUCAGUCCUCGUUUUCAUGUGAAUGUUCCCUUAAAUGAGCGACUCAGGACUUCACAUGGAGUUCAUUAACAUGCAGGCAUGGCAACGGUCCAUCUCUCCAUCAGGUUUCAGAGGUUUCACAGGGUCAGGAAAACCAUUUCGGACGCUUGAAUCCACGAUCUUGUUCUUUCCGUCGGCACGUAGGUCGACCGGUAAAUCUUUUUGUAUAUACGCCACAAAAAAAGAUGCUUCUUUAACGGAUUCCUGCCUAACCACCUUUUAUCAGAGUCCAAAUCAGAGCGCCUGUUUCCAACACGUCCACAGCUUGAAUCUGUAGGUAAACCGUGACGCUUUGCCUUAUUUUUUCCACUUCUGUGAUACGUGAAUCUUCCCCUCAGUGACUUUUAUUUAUUUAUUGAGCCAUCCAACACUCGUCUGAUAAAACAACUGUCCUGGAGCUCUCUGUACGGCGACUCUCACUCCUCCGUAUUUAAACUCUCAGGAAAACAAACAUUCACAGAUGUAUUUAUGCAGAGGCACAAACCUCUUAAAAAGCGAGACACAAACACGGACAAACCCACCUAUGAAUCCUCACGGACAAAUCAAACCUGCACAUGUCCUGCUUGUUGUUAUUCCCUCACACACACACACACACACACACACGCCUUAUCACUUUGUGUGUCGUCUCACACUCCUUCCCUGGAGACUUAAGGCCUCGGUACCUUCAGAUGAACGCGUCGUGUAGCUGUUUGUCCGACCUUGUCUACAGCGGCAGUGAUAACGCCUGUUCCGAAUGGCCACACCGGAUGAUGGCAUGAAAACGUCUGCAGACACAAGAGCACAGAGAGAGAGAGAGGAAGGGGCUAAAUGCAUGAAUAACAACACUAACGCACAAACAGACACACUCUGCUUUAAGGCCUUGUUGAGUUUCACUGUUUUAUAAACUGGAAAAAUCCUAAAAACAUGUUUGUUUCUCUCAAAACUUCACUUUGUUCAUCAGGUCAGUUUAGAUCGUCCUCGGAAAGUCUUGAGUCUGGUCUUUUGGUCCUUGAAUUUUUGAGCCUUAAAGUCCCGCUCCCAUCUUUUCUUUUAAAAAAUACUUAAAAUGUUCUCAGUGGUCUUUAAAUUGUGAUUAUAAAGUUUUUCACCAAAGUCACAUUACCCCUCUUCAUGCUUGUAGCCGAACAUCGCCGUUGUAGUAGAAGCAGCAGGUAACAUAGGAGCUCUUUAGCUCUGAGACACUCAUGUUUUCAGGGACAUGAUGAAAGUUAAAAUUAUAAUUAGCUUUAGCAAUUCGCUAACUUGUUCUGCGAUCGUCAGCGUUACUUUUCAAGUCUGGCCUUAAUGGCAGGGUUCAGGGGGCGGAGCUUGGAUUUGUGACAUAGGAAAUCUCACUGAAUCUGAACCUGCCGUUUGGGUCCGCCAGAGAUUCAGAAUACUCGCAUCAAACAACAGCAUCAGAAAAAUGUCUUAUGAACGUGUAGACGACAAGAAAAACAUGAUUUUUUUAGUUUUUGCUUUUAAAGUCCUCCAUGAUCAAACUCCCUCGUACAUCACUGACCUGCUGAGACCCUCCUCCCCCUCAUGUUCAUUAACGUCAUCAGACCACCAACUCUUGAUGGUCCCUCGCACCCGUUUUAAAACACAAGAUCUUUUUAGACAAGCUUUUACCUGAUGUCGACGUCGUGCGGCCUCAGUGAAGUGCUUGUAUCUGUGCCAUUAUAUAUAUGUUUGUUUAUCCGUACUGCAAUUUAUCCUUGUUGUAAAGCACUUUGUGGUUUUAUCUAUGAAGAGUUCUGUAUAAAUAAAAUGUUCUUACUCUUCUCUCCUCCUCUUUCCCCUCAUCUUCCUCUUUUAUGCUCUUCUUCCUUUCCUUGUCCCCUUGUCUUCCUCUUUUCCCCUUUUUUCUCCUUCUCUUCCUUCCUCUUCAUCCUCCUCUCACCUCUCCUCU
rnacentral:lncRNA from 1 species